rnacentral:rRNA from 1 species
GAUUGACCUCGGAUCAGGUAGGGAUACCCGCUGAACUUAAGCAUAUCAAUAAGCGGAGGAAAAGAAACCAACAGGGAUUGCCUCAGUAACGGCGAGUGAAGCGGCAACAGCUCAAAUUUGAAAUCUGGCUCCUUCGGGGCCCGAGUUGUAAUUUGCAGAGGACGUUUCGGGUGCGGCCCGGUCUAAGUCCCUUGGAACAGGGCGUCAUAGAGGGUGAGAAUCCCGUAUGUGACCGGUGACCAACCCCAUGUGAAACCCCUUCGACGAGUCGAGUUGUUUGGGAAUGCAGCUCAAAAUGGGUGGUAAAUUCCAUCUAAAGCUAAAUACUGGCCAGAGACCGAUAGCGCACAAGUAGAGUGAUCGAAAGAUGAAAAGCACUUUGGAAAGAGAGUCAAACAGUACGUGAAAUUGUUGAAAGGGAAGCGCUGGCAACCAGACCUGCCCCGGGCGAUCAGCGGGUGUUCUCACCCGUGCACUCGCCCGCGAUCAGGCCAGCAUCGGUUUCGGCGGUCGGAUACAGACCCGGGGAACGUGGCUCUCUUCGGGGAGUGUUAUAGCCCCGGGUGCAAUGCGGCCAGCCGGGACCCGAGGACCGCGCUUCGGCUAGAUGAUGGCGUAAUGGU